rnacentral:tRNA from 1 species
GCGCGAGUGGCGGAACUGGCAGACGCGCUAGAUUCAGGGUCUAGUGGGCUUUAUGCUCAUGGGGGUUCAAUUCCCCCCUCGCGCA